rnacentral:rRNA from 1 species
UACAGAGACUGCAAGCGUUAUUCGGAUUCACUGGGCGUAAAGGGUGCGCAGGCGGCCGAGUGUGUGAGGCGUGAAAGCCUGGAGCUUAACUCCAGAAUUGCACCUCAAACUACACGGCUAGAGCAUUGGAGAGGGUAGCAGAAUUCAUGGUGUAGCAGUGAAAUGCGUAGAUAUCAUGAGGAAUACCAGAGGCGAAGGCGGCUACCUGGACAAUUGCUGACGCUCAGGCACGACAGCGUGGGGAGCAAAAGGG